rnacentral:rRNA from 1 species
ACUUGUGGCUGGGGGUGAAAGGCCAAUCAAACCGGGAGAUAGCUGGUUCUCCCCGAAAUCUAUUUAGGUAGAGCCUUGAGCGGACACCUUCGGGGGUAGAGCACUGUUUCGGCUAGGGGUCCAUCCCGGAUUACCAACCCGAUGCAAACUACGAAUACCGAAGAGUGAUACUCAGGAGACACACGGCGGGUGCUAACGUCCGUCGUGGAGAGGGAAACAACCCAGACCGCCAGCUAAGGUCCCAAAGUCUAUAUUAAGUGGGAAACGAAGUGGGAAGGCUUAGACAGCUAGGAUGUUGGCUUAGAAGCAGCCAUCAUUUAAAGAAAGCGUAAUAGCUCACUAGUCGAGUCGGCCUGCGCGGAAGAUGUAACGGGGCUCAAAUAUAGCACCGAAGCUGCGGCAUCAGUAGCAAUACUGUUGGGUAGGGGAGCGUUCUGUAAGCGGAUGAAGGUGAAUCGAGAGGUUUGCUGGACGUAUCAGAAGUGCGAAUGCUGACAUAAGUAACGAUAAAACGGGUGAAAAACCCGUUCGCCGGAAGACCAAGGGUUCCUGUCCAACGUUAAUCGGGGCAGGGUGAGUCGGCCCCUAAGGCGAGGCUGAAAAGCGUAGUCGAUGGGAAACGGGUUAAUAUUCCCGUACUUGGAUAAACUGCGAUGUGGGGACGGAGCAGGUUAGGUUAUCGCACUGUUGGAUAUGUGCGUUUAAGUUGGUAGGUGAGAAGUUUAGGCAAAUCCGGACUUCUAUAACACCGAGAGAUGAUGACGAGGCUCUACGGAGCUGAAGUAACCGAUACCACACUUCCAGGAAAAGCCACUAAGCUUCAGGUUUAUCUAAACCGUACUGAAAACCGACACAGGUGGUCAGGUAGAGAAUACUCAGGCGCUUGAGAGAACUCGGGUGAAGGAACUAGGCAAAAUAGCACCGUAACUUCGGGAGAAGGUGCGCCGGCGUAGAUUGUAGUCCCUUGCGGAUGAAGGUUGAACCGGUCGAAGAUACCAGCUGGCUGCAACUGUUUAUUAAAAACACAGCACUCUGCAAACACGAAAGUGGACGUAUAGGGUGUGAUGCCUGCCCGGUGCUGGAAGGUUAAUUGAUGGUGUAAUCGAAAGAGAAGCUCCUGAUCGAAGCCCCAGUAAACGGCGGCCGUAACUAUAACGGUCCUAAGGUAGCGAAAUUCCUUGUCGGGUAAGUUCCGACCUGCACGAAUGGCAUAAUGAUGGCCAGGCUGUCUCCACCCGAGACUCAGUGAAAUUGAAAUCGCCGUGAAGAUGCGGUGUACCCGCGGCUAGACGGAAAGACCCCGUGAACCUUUACUAUAGCUUGACACUGAACAUUGAAUUUUGAU